UUUUCAGUCUCCCUCUCAAAAACUUCCUGUCCCUCGCUCAGUUCUUGUAAGUGAGAUCUGGUAGUUUUCUCUUUGCUGCUCGUGGUUGGUUGGUAAGGACUCUCUGCUCUCCUCUCGCAUGGUCUCUUCGCUGAUCCUCGCUCGCUUGCUCGCCGUACCUCGCGCUGCUGCUAUGAAUUCAUGAAUUCCCCGUAGAUUGCUUGUGUAUGUGUAAUCUGUUAUACCUCAUUCAAGAUGUCGUCUUGCAUUUCGUCGUUUUGAAAGAAUUGGAUAAAGAUUGACGUUGAAGACUCUAAUCAUUUUUACUGUUUGAAAGCAAGGUAGUCGUGGAGAUGGCCUUUCUAGAGAGGAAAUCAGCUGAUGAUCAUAACUUUUGCGGUUAUUUUGUUGUUGAGGCCAUGCCUUCUGCAAAGAAGAAUUUUGAGCAUAGUCGCAUCAGCCAAGCAUUCAACAAGUUGAUGAAACAGCCAGGGACACCAGUUGAGUUCGAACUUCCAGAUUGGUUUAAUAAAUGGAAGCCUACACCGUACACCUUCAUUAAGCGAAACAUAUAUCUAGCAAAGAAGAUCAAAAGACGUCUUGAGGAUGAUGGCAUAUUCUGUUCCUGCAGCCCAUUGCCAGGUUCUUCUAGCGUUUGUGGUAGGGAUUGCCAUUGCGGGAUGCUACUUUCUAGUUGCUCCUCAGGCUGCAAAUGUGGGAGUUCAUGCCUGAACAAACCAUUUCAGCAUCAACCUGUGAAGAAAAUGAAAUUGGUGCAGACCGAUAAAUGUGGAGCUGGAAUUGUGGCAGAUGAAGAUAUUAAGCAAGGAGAAUUUGUUAUAGAAUAUGUAGGGGAAGUUAUUGACGACAAAACAUGUGAGGAAAGGCUUUGGAAUAUGAAACAUCGCGGUGAAACAAACUUUUACCUAUGUGAAAUCAACCGAGAUAUGGUGAUUGAUGCCACAUACAAGGGAAACAAAUCAAGAUACAUAAACCACAGUUGUUGUCCCAAUACUGAGAUGCAGAAAUGGAUAAUUGAUGGUGAAACAAGAAUCGGCAUAUUUGCACUUCGAAACAUUAAAAAGGGCGAGCAUCUGACAUAUGAUUACCAGUUUGUUCAAUUUGGUGCAGAUCAAGAUUGCCAUUGUGGUGCUGCAAGCUGUAGGCAAAAGCUAGGGGUUAAACCAAGCAAGCCUAAGAUAUCUUCCGAUGCUGCAUUGAAGUUAGUGGCAUGCCAAGUGGCAGUGUCGUCUCCCAAGUUGAAAGCAAUUCUGUCUGGGAAAGAUGUUUGUCAUAAGGAAGGCUUGCACGUAGGAACUUCAUGGUCUGGCCUUUAUCAACGGCAAGCAUGCUCUCUAAGUUGCAUCGGAAAAGUGAUACGAAUAUCUCAUCCUGUCUUUUGGGAUUAUUAAAUGGUUUGACAAGUCUUCUAGGAAGCACUCGAUCAUGUUUGAAGAUGGUAGUGUUGAAUUUUUUGACAUGUCGAAGGAGGAUUGGGAAUUUGUAACUGUAUGACAUAGCUGUGGGAAACAGCAACCAAACUUUGUGGAGCCUGGUGUCGCAUCUGACUGAAACCUCCCAACUGUUGUUGUAUGAAAUUUGAGAGCCCUUGUUGUUUCACAGAAAGGAAACAAGAAUAUUGUAUCAAAUAUAGUGUUACAUUCUUUUCCUUGAGAAUAAGGAUAUCAUGAACUGUAGCUAUUGAUGCACGAGAUGAGAGAACUGUGUCUUGGAAAACAUUGAAAAAUGAAGCUAAUGUAGAAGGUACGGCAGGCAACCCAAAUGGUGUAAUAAUGCUCUGUAUGAUUAGAAGACGGUGUAUGUGGUUACAGAAACAAUUGUUGACAAUGAGGCAUUAUUCAUGGUAUGCAGAACUAUAGAACCAGAAAAGGAUUACUUUGAUUCA